rnacentral:rRNA from 1 species
UACGAAGGGGGCUAGCGUUGCUCGGAAUCACUGGGCGUAAAGCGCACGUAGGCGGAUCUUUAAGUCAGGGGUGAAAUCCCAAGGCUCAACCUUGGAACUGCCUUUGAUACUGGGGGAUCUCGAGUCCGGAAGAGGUUGGUGGAACUGCGAGUGUAGAGGUGAAAUUCGUAGAUAUUCGCAAGAACACCAGUGGCGAAGGCGGCCAACUGGUCCGGUACUGACGCUGAGGUGCGGAAAGCGUGGGGAGCAAACAGG